CAACUUCCUGUUAUAUGGAAAUGAAUCCCGCGCUGUGUAUCGCUUUUCCGAUACACAGAGACUUCACCUGUUAUCAUCUGGCGGACCCUGUAGAGCAGUGUGAGAGACCAGGUGAUUUUCGCCGAUCUGCCGAGGUGAAAUGCUGUAAACCUCAUUCAUACAUUGACUCAGCGGUCAGGUUUUUUGGUGAUACCAUUAAAAGGGGGUCGCUGCCACAUCGCACCGUCCAUUGGAGCACGUCCUGUCGGGCUUGUGUGAGGUUUCAGGUCCCCAGAUCCAGAGACAAUUCUCAGAUUACAGGAAUUCCCAGUGUGAACUGGGUGGCGAGCCGAACCGAACCACUGGUACUGAACCUAGAGGCGCCUGAAGGACUUCCUGA